rnacentral:rRNA from 1 species
GCCAAUGAACUAGCCCCCCCCCCCAAAAACACACUAACUAAUUUUUUAACCCCAAAUACACCACCUUCCAAUAAGCUAAACCAUUUUCCCCCCUAAGUAUGGGAAACAAAAAAGGACCCCCGGGAGCGAUAAAACAAGUACCGCAAGGGAAAGUUGAAAAAAAAAUGAAAUAGCCCAUAAAGCUGAAAAAAGCAAAAACUAACCCUCGUACCUUUUGCUUCAUGACUUAGCCAGCACCACUCAAGCACAGGGAACUUUAGUUUGACCCCCCGAAACUAGGUGAGCUACUCCAAGUCAGCCAAAAAAAUUUGGGCCAACCCGUCUCUGUGGCAAAAGAGUGGGAAGAAUUUGAGUAGGGGUGACAGACCUAUCAAACCUAAAAAUAGGGGGUUCCUGCUAAAUGAAUAGGAGUUCAGCCUCUUCGCUUCUUAAUUGUUUUCCCCCAUUCCCCCCCCCCCCUUUUUUUACUGUAUACUUAGGUAUACACCCGUAAAACAUGGUAAGAAGCCAAGGGAGUUAAUCAAAGGAGUAACAGCCCCUUUGAAACAAGACACAACUUUCCCAGGCGGUUAAAGAUCAUACAGAACCAAAGUAAAAUGUUUUGGUGGGCCUAAGAGCAGCCACCCCCAUAGAAAGCGUUAAAGCUCAAAUAUAUUUUCUACUACUAAUCCUGAUAACUAAAUCUUACGCCCCUAAAUUCAUCAAGCCGCCCUAUGCAAACAUAGGUGUGACCAUGCUAACAUGAGUAAUUAGGGGGCCCCGGCCCCCUCCCUGCACACGUGUAAACCGGAAUGGACCUUCCACCGGACUUUAACGAACCCAAACAAAGAGGGGACUGAAUAUUAAACUAAACAACUAGAAAAUCAUUCAACCACAACCGUUAACCCUACACAGGCGUGCUCCGCGGAAAGACUAAAAGAAAAAGAAGGAACUCGGCAAACACCUUAAGCCUCGCCUGUUUACCAAAAACACCGCCUCUUGUACUUAAUAAAUAAGAGGUCCCACCUGCCCACUGACUAUAUGUUCAACGGCCGCGGUAUUCUAACCGUGCGAAGGUAGCGCAAUCACUUGUCCUUUAAAUGGAGACCUGUAUGAAUGGCACGACGAGGGCUUAGCUGUCUCCUUUUUCAAGUCAAUGAAAUUGAUCUCCCCGUGCAGAAGCGGGGAUGAGAUCAUAAGACGAGAAGACCCUGUGGAGCUUCAGACUCUAAGACAGCCCAAGUUAUAAAGGCCCCCUGUCAAAGGAUUAAACUUAUUGGCACCUGUCUUGACGUCUUCGGUUGGGGCGACCCCGAGGAAUAGAAAAACCCCCGGGUGGACUGGGGCGCGAGACCCUAAAACCAUGAGCCACCCCUCUAACUAUCAGAACUCCUGACCAAUUAGAUCCGGUAAAACCGAUUAACGGACCAAGUUACCCCAGGGAUAACAGCGCAAUCCCCUUUUAGAGCCCGUAUCGACAAGGGGGCUUACGACCUCGAUGUUGGAUCAGGACAUCCUAAUGGUGUAACCGCUAUUAAUUGAUCUCCCCGUGCAGAAGCGGGGAUGAGAUCAUAAGACGAGAAGACCCUGUGGAGCUUCAGACUCUAAGACAGCCCAAGUUAUAAAGGCCCCCUGUCAAAGGAUUAAACUUAUUGGCACCUGUCUUGACGUCUUCGGUUGGGGCGACCCCGAGGAAUAGAAAAACCCCCGGGUGGACUGGGGC